AGUGAACGCUGGCGGUAGGCCUAACACAUGCAAGUCGAACGGCAGCACAGUAAGAGCUUGCUCUUACGGGUGGCGAGUGGCGGACGGGUGAGGAAUACAUCGGAAUCUACUUUUUCGUGGGGGAUAACGUAGGGAAACUUACGCUAAUACCGCAUACGACCUACGGGUGAAAGCAGGGGAUCUUCGGACCUUGCGCGAUUGAAUGAGCCGAUGUCGGAUUAGCUAGUUGGCGGGGUAAGGGCCCACCAAGGCGACGAUCCGUAGCUGGUCUGAGAGGAUGACCAGCCACCCUGGAACUGAGACACGGUCCAGACUCCUACGGGAGGCAGCAGUGGGGAAUAUUGGACAAUGGGCGCAAGCCUGAUCCGGCCAUACCGCGUGGGUGAAGAAGGCCUUCGGGUUGUAAAGCCCUUUUGUUGGGAAAGAAAAGCAGCAGGUUAAUACCCCGCUGUUCUGACGGUACCCAAAGAAUAAGCACCGGCUAACUUCGUG
rnacentral:rRNA from 1 species